AGUGAAGAAAAUUACUGAACUAUCAUUUCCAAUGCUUUCUCAAAAUAACUGACAAACAUAUUCAUAACUGAAGCAGGAACGCAGAAAAAAAACAUGUUUCUUUCUUUUUGGUCGCAUUGAAUUUAAAUUUUCAGACUGAUCUACGUAAAAGUUUACCUUUAUUGACAUAGUGGAAGCAAUUCUUCCUCACCCUAAGCUUGCAGGUAUUUUUUUUUUUUUGCUUUCAUUGCAUGCCUUUCUUUCUCUCCUGUUGCUGUUCAGUACUUCACCGACAUCGCGAUAACAUUUUUUCCCGCAAGCUAGACGAACAUCCGGUUACUCUACUGCGAAACGACGCGUGAAGAUAGGAAAACCCUGGUGAUUACAUUGUGUUGAGUCUUGUGCUAUCUGUGUGCGUACAGUAUAUAAGAAAAGUCGAAUUCUCGCGGAGCAACAAAUCACCAGCCAAUCACCAGGCAGGACGAGAAAGCGUUCAUUCACCAUGAAGACUUGUUUGUGGCUCGCCCUGCUAUCUGUCGUCACCGUAGCCUGUGAGUCUGGCACAUGCAUUAAUUCCACGCGUUGCAUCUAAUGAAAGCUCGCUCAACUAACAUUAUUUAGGCACGCUAGGACACAUAAGGAGCUUGGCUGGUGCAAACAAUUGAAGCUUCGUCUAAGAUUGUGAAAUCGCAAAUGACUCUGAGAAAGUCGGAAUAAAUUGCACCAGCGUAUCUCACGUUGUAAGAAAAUGUUCUCUUUGUCAAGUUGUAGUGAUCGUGUUUUAAACGAUAUGCCAUUUUUUGCACGUUAACUUAAACAUCAAGCUGAAGAAAGAAUCGAAGCCACUAGGGUCUUGUGCAGCAUAGGUGAAGCUCAUUUGCAAGCGUACAACACGAAACUUCACUGACGUCUUGGUCACUCUGUUUACGGCGUUAUCUAUAGGUUAUGAAUCCACCCAAAUAAACAUCUCUUUGAUUUUCAAGUCAUUGCCCUAACAGCGGCGAAAACAAAGACGCCGAAUCAGAUCAUAUUUCCAUGCACGUGUAAUAGAACCUUAAUUAUGUUUCACUUGGCAAUACCACAACAUUAUUUUACAUUAGCUUUUAGAUAUUUUCAAAUAAAAAUGAUCCUAAUUCAUUUACUUUGUUCUUUUUUCAUAUGAAACGAAGAUGGCGCAACACUAGUGCCUCAGGUGGGCUUGGGUAAGCCUGUUCUUCCUAAAGAAGCUGAAGCAGAUGCACUUGAGAAAGCAGGGAAGGCCUUGGAGACAGUGGGACGACUACUGCAGGGCGAAAAUGUCGCCUUAAACGAGGAAGUGCAAGAACAUUUGGUCAAUGCUCUUCGGGUUGCGUCUAACAAUGGUGAAGUCUUCAGCGAGGAUGACUCUGAGUACUUCCUGCCAAUCAUCAUUCGUGGUGUUGUUCAAGGUGCCAUUGCCCACGUUGUCCACAAGAAGUUGAACAAGGGCUAAGGACACUGCCAGUGAAUAACUACAACGCAUUAACGACAAUGUGUUAAAAAAACACUACCAGGAAUUACGCAACGAGUUACUGGUUCAUCUUCUCUAUAGAGUAACAUAUGGCAUAAAAUAAAGCUAUGUUAGUGACGUGA